rnacentral:rRNA from 1 species
GAUGAACGCUGGCGGCAUGCCUAAUACAUGCAAGUCGAGCGAACAGAUGUGUUUCUUGCUGCUCUCACGUUAGCAGCGGACAAGUGAGUGCCACGUGGAGAGCCUCCCUAUAAGACUGGGAUAACUUCUGGAAAGCGGAGCGAAGACCGGAUAAUAUAUUGAACCCCAUGGUUCGCUCGUGACAGAUUGUUUUGCUGUUGAGUCUAUAGUGUUCCGCGCCGCAUUCGCGUGUUGGUAAGGUAAGGGCUUACCAAGGCAACGAUGCGUAGCCGACCUAAGAGGGUGACAGGCCACACUGGAACAGGGACACGGUCCAGACUCGGACGGGAGGCAGCCGUAGAGAAUUUUACGAAACGGGAGAGAGCAUGACGGCGCAACGCGGCGAGAGUGAAGAAGGUCUUCGGAUCGUAAAACUGUGUUAUUAGGGAAGAACAAAUGUGUAAGCAACUAUGCACGUCUUGACGGUACCUAAUCAGAAAGCAACGGCUAACUACGUG